UGGGGAAUUUUGGACAAUGGGCGAAAGCCUGAUCCAGCAAUGCCGCGUGUGUGAAGAAGGCCUUCGGGUUGUAAAGCACUUUUGUCCGGAAAGAAAUCCUUGGCUCUAAUACAGUCGGGGGAUGACGGUACCGGAAGAAUAAGCACCGGCUAACUACGUGCCAGCAGCCGCGGUAAUACGUAGGGUGCAAGCGUUAAUCGGAAUUACUGGGCGUAAAGCGUGCGCAGGCGGUUUGCUAAGACCGAUGUGAAAUCCCCGGGCUCAACCUGGGAACUGCAUUGGUGACUGGCAGGCUAGAGUAUGGCAGAGGGGGGUAGAAUUCCACGUGUAGCAGUGAAAUGCGUAGAGAUGUGGAGGAAUACCGAUGGCGAAGGCAGCCCCCUGGGCCAAAUACUGACGCUCAUGCACGAAAGCGUGGGGAGCAAACAGGAUUAGAUACCCUGGUAGUCCACGCCCUAAACGAUGUCAACUAGUUGUUGGGGAUUCAUUUCCUUAGUAACGUAGCUAACGCGUGAAGUUGACCGCCUGGGGAGUACGGUCGCAAGAUUAAAACUCAAAGGAAUUGACGGGGUCAUAGCUGUUUCCU
rnacentral:rRNA from 1 species